CCUUACUGCUAUCGGGGUGGGACUAAGACAUGCGAGUCGAGCGUCUCUAGCUAUGUUGAGACGCGGCAGACGGCUCAGUAACACGUGGCUAACCUACCCUCAGGACGAGGAUAAACCCGGGAAACUGGGGCUAAUACUCGAUAGGUGAGAAUGUCUGGAAUGAUUUCUCACUCAAAGGGCCUUGGGAACAUGCUUCCAAUGUCGCCUGGGGAUGGGGCCGCGUCCGAUCAGGUUGUUGGUGAGGUAAUGGCUCACCAAGCCUAUAACCGGUACGGGCCGUGAGAGCGGUAGCCCGGARAUGGGUACUGAGACAAGGACCCAGGCCCUACGGGGCGCAGCAGUCGCGAAAACUCCCGCAAUGCACGAAAGUGUGACGGGGCUACCCCGAGUGCCAUCCGCUGAGGGUGGCUUUUCCUUGGUAUAACUAGCCGAGGGAAUAAGGAGAGGACAAGACUGGUGUCAGCCGCCGCGGUAAUACCAGCUCUCCGAGUGGUAGGGAUGAUUAUUGGGCUUAAAGCGUCCGUAGCCGGCUUAGCAAGUCUCCUGUUAAAUUCAGCGACCUAAUCGUUGAGCCGCGGGAGAUACUACUAGGCUAGGAGGCGGGGAGAGGUCGACGGUACUUCUGGGGUAGGGGUGAAAUCCUAUAAUCCCGGGAGGACCACCAGUGGCGAAGGCUGUCGACUAGAACGCGCCCGACGGUGAGGGACGAAAGCUGGGGGAGCGAACCGGAUUAGAUACCCGGGUAGUCCCAGCCGUAAACGAUGCUGGCUAGGUGUUGGGGUGGCUACGUGCCACUUCAGUGCCGCAGGGAAGCCAUUAAGCCCGCCGCCUGGGGAGUACGGCCGCAAGGCUGAAACUUAAAGGAAUUGGCGGGGGAGCACCACAAGGCGUGAAGCUUGCGGUUC
rnacentral:rRNA from 1 species